rnacentral:rRNA from 1 species
UAACAGGUUCUUCGGAAUGCUGACGAGUGGCGGACGGGUGAGUAAUACAUAGGAAUCUACCCAUGUAGUGGGGGAUAACUUGGGGAAACCCAAGCUAAUACCGCAUAAUUCCUACGGGAUAAAGAGGGCCACUGCUUGCAAGCUCUUGCUAUUGGAUGAGCCUAUGUCGGAUUAGUUAGUUGGUAAGGUAAUGGCUUACCAAGACAGCGAUCCGUAGCUGGUUUGAGAGGAUGAUCAGCCACACUGGGACUGAGACACGGCCCAGACUCC